rnacentral:lncRNA from 1 species
GACCCCAUUGGCCACUCACACACACAAUACCAUUUUCGCUCAUCACCAACAUCAGUGACUCAUGCUCACUCCUCCACACCUCGACCCCAAUAGGCCACGCACACACACAAUUCGUCCACACCUCGACCCCAAUAGGCCACGCACACACCCAAUCUGUCCACUCCUCGACCCCAGUAUGCCACGCACACACGCAAUACCAUUCUCAUACGUCACCAACAUCGGCGACUCAUGCUCACUACUCCAUACCUCGACCCUAAUAGGCCACGUACACACACAAUCCGUCCACACCUCGACCUCAAUAGGCCACACACACACACAAUCCGUUCUCGCACGUCACCAACAUCGGUGACUCAUGCUCACUACCCCACACCUCAACCACAAUAGGCCACGCACACACACCAUCCGUCUACACCUCGACCCCAAAAGGCCACGCACACACACAA